UGCAAGCCAGGAAGUGGGCCCUCACCAAGAACCAAAUCUGCCUGCAUCUUGGUCUAGGACUUUGCCUCCAGACUGUGAGAAAAGAAAUGUCCGCUGUUUCAGCCCCCAGUCUGUGCUAUAUUGUUAUGGCGGCCUGAGCCAGCUUACACACUAGUCUUCAGGCUUCUGUUGUUGCCAGAUGCUACCACAAUUUUGAGAGGACUACUCUGCUUUUGCCUUUAUCUAGCAGAACUUUGUCUCUUUGCCUCAGCUGCUUAAAGAGACAGGGAGUAUGUGAGGAAGGGAUUCCAGGAAGGUAAACCUAGCCAGGAAGUUAUCAUUCUUGCCUCCUGCACCCCUCCACCGCUAUUCUAAUCGUGCACCUGAAGAUACAACCACCUCAGGCUGAUUUCCAAGUGAGACUGGAAACGAGAGGCGCAGAGGACCCGCCUGAGAGUGCUGAGACCACAAACCUUCAAGCUCCUCGUUCUAGAACCUGGAACCAGUCACAGGAGUCCAUGCACGUGAAAAUAAGGAAACUGAGGGACAGAGAGAUUAAGAAAUUUGCUCAUGACCACUCAAUUAAUAAAUUUUGGAGUCAGCAUCCAUCCCCCAGGAGGUCUAUUGUCAAACCUUCUUGCUUCCCAAGAGCAGGUUACCUCUGAGUUCUGCUAAUUUCUUCAUAAAUGCAGUUGCCUUUGAAGGCCUUUGAAAGCCUAGCUGAGCACAGGCACUAGCAUUAGACAGACCUGGCUUCAAAUCCCAGUGAGUUAGUUUGGCAAUAACAGUCAAGACAAUUUCUCCCACUUCUACUGCCAAGUCUACUUUGCAGCCAGUUGGUGGGGAAGGAAGAAGGAACAAAAGCACGCACUCCUUCCUUUUAAGAGCGUGAAUGACUUGUGCCCCCAGCCCAGAGGUCAGAAUGUAGUCUCGUGGCUAGAUCCAAGCGAGGCUAGAGAACGCCGGGUUUAGACAAGGCAGCAAUGUGCUCAGCUAAAACGUAUAGAUUUUACGAAUAAAGAAGGAAGAGGAGAAUGAAUAUUAGGACAACCAGGAGUCUUUUCCUCCUUGAGCUUUACCACUGUGACCUUGGACAAGUUACUUAGAUUCUCUGAGCCUCAGUUUUGUCCUUUCUAAGAUGAGGAUGAGAGUAUAUAAGCACAUUAGGAUUUAGCUAGCGCAUGUCAAGUAACCAGCUCAGUGCCCAGCACACAGCAAGAGCUCAAUAAAUGUGAAUACAACUGCGAUUGGAAAAGUAGGGUGUAACUGAAGUGCCAGAUCGGAGCUACUGUGACAUGGACUGUGUGAGGACUACACAGCGUGAGUUAUACUGUCUGCAGGCCACCAGGGUUACUUGCUGGGUAUUGCAUAAUUGCUGAGCUUUCUCCUGUGUGUAUUUCAGGGAAUUCUGGGAGCUAAAUGGAGUGUUAAAAUGAGAUAUUUUCAGAUUCUUGGACAUGUUGUGGAAGAGGGAGAACCCCCCUCCACCCUUUCCCUUAAGGUUCUUAUGGCUGGCCAAAUAGUUAAAAGACAGUUUAGCAGGAGAAAAUAAUACCAAGUUUAAUAACAUGCAUACAUGGGAGAAACCAGGGAAACUGAGUUUCUCCGCAAAAUGGCAGAGACUCUCAUCUUAAAUACUAUGUUUAGCUAAAGACAAAGGAGGAUGUUGGGGGGUAGUGGUUUUGGAUUUCAGAGGGGAAGAAGACAAUUCACAUGGAGAGGGAAAUGUAAAUGUUUGUCAGACAAUUCUUUGUAGGGCCACCUAUAGAGAAUGUGGCUGGAGAGACAGAAAUUGUAGUAAUCAAGAGUAUGUAGAUUUAAGUCCUCUCCUUCCGUCCUGAUAAGAGUUUCUACAGAUAAGGCCAUCCCCCCCACCCUCUUCCCAGUACACAGAGGGAGAUACCUUUAACAA